ensembl:lncRNA
CCUGCCUGUUUUCCAUCUGUGUUGCAUUUUACUCUUUGGGGUGCUCGUUUUCCUUGGGAGAAGCCGGUGCCGGUGUCACCCACCCAGGCACACACCGCGAUGCCGCUCCCAGCCCUCGCCGGAGAUGCCGGCCGUGCCUGAGGGCGCUGCUGCUCGCCGGGACCGAGAGAUGGUAACGCCGCGGCGGGGAGCAGCUCCACAGCGCGCUGCCCUGCCCGGAGCCGCCGCCUGAGCAGCGCUGUGCCCCAGCCGGGCUCCCGCAGCCCCGCUGCCUCUCCGGGGAGCUGCGCGCCCGCUCCGGGGCUCCUCGGGGACCCGCCGGCUCCCUGCCGCUUCCCUGCCGCUUCCCUGCCGCUUCACCGCCGCUUCCCGGCCGCUUCCCUGCGCCAUCCCCGGGGCAGGCGGCCCCAGGUCCCGCACACGUGCCCGCUCGCCAAGGGACACACUCAUAGUGGGCAAAUAAGAAGGAACCACUGUAAUUUAGAUAAACCUCAAAGGCUCUUUGGCCUAGGCAGGAUACUGCGAAACAAAGAGAGGAGAGCUUGCUGCAAAUCUCGUCUGAUGAGACUGUGCUGGGCUGCAUGCCCAAAGGAGCCCAGACCACCCUUGGCAUCUCCAUGCUGCAUCAGGCCUGUGACUUGUUCCUGCUGUGCAACAGUGACAUCCCACCCCUGUGAUGCCAAGCCCUGCCUUCAGCUGUCCUGGGAGGUGAGACACCAACGAGGGGAUGAGUGACCCCUUUCCAGCCCCUGAGAAAGCAGAGCAGAGCUU